CUUGGCCCCAAAUUAUUUUACAAAUAAAUUGGACAAUUUUUUUAAAAGGUAAAAGCGGACAAAAUAUGAAAGGAAAAGUUGUUUACUAGUCUAAACUUGUAUU